GACGCAGGGGGCUAGCGUUGUUCGGAAUUACUGGGCGUAAAGCGUGUGUAGGUGGUUGCCGUAGUCAGGUGUGAAAGCCUUGAGCUCAACUCAAGAAAUGCACUUGAUACUGGGCAGCUAGAGGACCGGAGAGGAUAGUGGAAUUCCCAGUGUAGUGGUGAAAUACGUAGAGAUUGGGAAGAACACCAGUGGCGAAGGCGGCUAUCUGGACGGUUUCUGACACUAAGACACGAAAGCGUGGGGAGCAAACAGG
rnacentral:rRNA from 1 species